rnacentral:rRNA from 1 species
GGAUUAGGCAUGCAAGUCGAGCGAGAAGCUUUAGUUUGACGCUUCGGUUGAUUUCUAAAGUGGACAGCGGCGCAAGGGAGAGUAACGCGUAGUUAUCUACCCCGAGGUCCGGAAUAGCCCCGAGAAAUCGGGGGUAAUGCCGGAUAAUAUCCCCGGAUCAAAGGUGUGAUUCCGCCUUGGGAGGAGACUGCGUUGUACUAGCUUGUUGGUGGGGUAAAGGCCUACCAAGGCUUUGAUGCAUAGCGGGCGUGAGAGCGUGGCCCGUCUCACUGGGACUGAAACACUGCCCAGACACCUACGGGUGGCUGCAGUCGAGAAUCUUCGGCAAUGGGCGAAAGCCUGACCGAGCGAUGCCGCGUGCGGGAUGAAGGCCUUCGGGUUGUAAACCGCUGUCAGUUGGGAGGAAGGGUCGAUGAAGAAUCGGCUUUGACCUAUCUUCAGAGGAAGUCCGGGCUAAGUUCGUGCCAGCAGCCGCGGUAACACGAACCGGACAAACGUUAUUCGGAAUUAUUGGGCUUAAAGGGUGCGUAGGCGGCUUGGUAGGUGGGGUGUGAAAGCCCUCGGCUCAACCGAGGAAUUGCGCCCCAAACCACCAAGCUAGAGGGAGACAGAGGUAAGCGGAACUGAUGGUGGAGCGGUGAAAUGCGUUGAUAUCAUCAGGAACACCAGUGGCGAAAGCGGCUUACUGGGUCUCUUCUGACGCUGAGGCACGAAAGCUAGGGUAGCGAACGGGAUUAGAUACCCCGAUAGUCCUAGCUGUAAACGAUGAGCACUUGGUUGAGGGCCCCCCCAUAGGUUCUCGACCGUAGCGAAAGUGUUAAGUGCUCCGCCUGGGGAGUAUGGUC